GCACAUUUGUGCAGGGGAAUCCAUGACUCAUGCCGCUCUCCAGCCUGCUCUGGGUGUUCCUGGCCUUCACCUUCUCUGGAUCCUGUGUGGCCCAGAAGGUGACUCAAGUCCAGACAGCCAUAUCCCGCCAACUGGGGGAAGCAAUUACCUUGAACUGUCAGUAUGAAACAAGAUGGACCGUGUACUAUCUUUUUUGGUAUAAGCAGUCUCCCAGUGGAGAGAUGACUUUCCUUAUUCGUCAAGAAUCUAAUAGCCCACAUAAUGCAAGGGAUGGCCGUUACUCUGUAAACUUCCGGAAAGCAGAUAAAUCCAUCAGCCUCACAAUUUCAGCCUUACAAUUGGAAGAUUCUGCAAAGUACUUCUGUGCUCUCAGGGAGCUCACAGUGCUUGAAGUAAUAGGAAAAGCUGAACAAAAACCCCAGAUCUCAAUAACAGAGAGAGACCCCCUGUUGCAGGAGCCCAGCUGA